GCACUGCUGAGGAGUCCCAUAAUAGGACGAAACAGCUGCCCAGUGC
rnacentral:hammerhead_ribozyme from 1 species